ensembl:lncRNA
UGUUACUUCUUUGUAAUAUUGUUUUUUUUUUGCUUUAUCCUGAUAUUGUAUUCUAAUUACUAAUCAUUCCACUUUAUUCUGUGCUUUCAGAAACCACACACACACAAACAGUAUUGAACAUUAUUUUCCAAAAUCAUAUCUGGAACUGGACAUAGCUGGAAUCUUUCAAGCAACAUACUGUUUGAACGUAAACUCCUCAAGUUUUACUGGAUGAAAUCACAGCAAGAAAACACAUAGGCCUAGGUGUAAUAAUCGUCUAUUUUAUUGAAGAAUUGGUGGUGGUUGAACAACAACAACAGAACUUGUUUUACGAGAGGAAACUAAACAGCAAGAAUAGACUGACAACUUAUGAAUAUCCAUAACCCAUAUUUAUGCAGUGAUUGAACAACAACAGCAUUUCCACACCCCACCUCUAAAGGCAUAGAAUUACGGAAGUUCACCUGUCACGUCAGUCAGAAAUUGCUACAGAUUUGCUGAAUAUUGCUUGAGCAUAUGGCACUUCCCAAAGCAUGGUGAAACACACAGAGCUGUGUCAUAAGCUAACCACAUGUACUUUGUAAACCUCCUCUGCUUCCUUUUCCUGGUGUCCGUCAGGCAGACUUUGCAGUGCCUCUGUGUGCGACUGCCUUCACCAGCAGUUUGAGGGACUUCGCAGGGAAAAGGCCGUGCAGUGAGGCGUAGGGGAUUGUCUGCAGCAGGACGACACCCCUCUCAUUAGGUUUUUGCUGUACUUUUGGCAGGUCAUUAAUUUACCUAUGGGGGAGAGGGAGUGGGGAGGAUGAGGGAUUGGAGAGGAUAAUGAGGCAGUGGGUAGGUGGGUGAGUUAUUGUCACUAUAAUUACAUAAUUGAACUGCAUGUGAUUUGUAUGUGAACUGUAUUUCCAAUUACAAAAUGUAUUUUUCACUUGUUAUCUCACCUGUUAGUUGGCGGUUAACUAUGUGGCCAUUGAGUGCAGCAGUGUUGAUCAGAAGGGAAAAUAUCUUCUUAUACCACUUGGUAGUUUUCAGAGUGCAUUCCACAAAGCUGUUUAUCAUGUCCGCCUUAUCCAAUGCCCCCAUUUUGAGGUUAUAGUCAAGCACACAGUCUGGUUUGAUCUUUCUCUCUCCCAUCAGGUGGUCCAGCUUCCCUGUGGCCGACAUGGUUGCUGUAUGGACAGUGGAGAGGACACAGACGUCUCGCUUUUCAUGCCACUUUACUGUCAGCUGUUGGCCGUUCUAUUUGAACCUUCCCUCUCUGCAUCUUCCUGCCUCCGAAUGCUAACAUCCCCUUCCUGUUCGACCUGACUGUGACACAAGCCCUGUGCUGUUGGAGAGGAGAUACUGGAAGAGUGUGGGACUGCUGUACAAACUGCCCACGUACAAAGUGUGUCCCGUGCCGAGAUGAGGAGCCAGCAUGGUCAUCACCAUGGACCCGGACACUCCAAGCCCCUCAUAAUGUUGGAUGUCAGUGGUGGACCCUGUGUAAAUCAUAAUGUAAUGGACAAAUCCUGUCAUGUCGCACGUAACAAAGAACUUGACCCCAAACCUGUGGGUUUUGGAGGGAAUAUCUUGCCAGCCUACCCUUCCAUAACAUCAGGGACUCAUCAAUGCAUACGUCCUUGUAUGGCACAAAGACCCAACCAAAUGCUCAUGUCAGGCUGCUCCUCUGUCAGAAAUAGCUUGAAGCACACUGCCUCAGAGAGAAAUGGCAAGUGGCUUUGUACUCCAGACUGGGACUCAUCAACGCAAACAGCAGGGCCAGGAGGGGUGAAAUGGCUGGCGGCCUUCCAGCUACCACAGAACUCCUGUACUUCAUCCACUGUCGGUCUGCAUCCAUCACCACCAGCAUCUUCAAAGGGACUUGGAUCUUCGUCAGUGGACAAGUGGUCCUCAGAUUUAGGGUUCUCAAUGGCUACAAGGUUGGGGUGCUCACUGUCAUUGUCAGAAUCUGAUUCCUUACUUUCAUUCUCAGACUCACUGUCAUAAUUUAUAAUCAUCUCCAGAAUUACUGCAUUUGUGAGUUGUCUCCUUUUGAAAGUCAUUGCUAAUGCUCUAGCUUAGCACACUAGCUAGAUACAUAAACAACAACACUGAAUGGCUCAGGGUGGGUGUCAGAGGUUAUGUGAUUGACUGCUGGCACGCACCACUUGUAUCAAUAAGUCACUAUCAGAAAAUGUUUUGUAUGGUAAUUAUUUACUGUUUUAUUCACGUUUAAGUACUGGUGACAAAUCAUGAAUUCCGAUUCUUGCAUAGAUUGUAAUGGACACAUACGUAUGACGUGUUAAAAUUAUUUUUUGAAGGUUGUACUGAUUAUGAUGAGCUAAGCUAAUUCUAGCUAUGUGUGGAGCCAUGUCUGUUGACAUACAAUGCAUUCUGGGUUUCACAUAAAUGUCUGUCAGACCAAAGAUGUUAUAACAAAAUGAAGUGAGGGAGGGUUCACUCAUAUUUCAAGUAAACUUCCGGAAGUGAAUGAUGGGAUGUGAAUAAUGGAAGACGACACAGCCCCUUCAACAUGCAUUCUGCAAACAGACCAAACUCAUCUUGUCGCAUCUUAUUAUCUUUGGUUAAAGCGAAAAAACAAACUUGGCGGCGCAUACUAACUACCCAUCGUCGGAUUACUUUUGAUUUCUAGAAAGUGUUUUACUCAAUUAUUUCAAUCAAUGUUGAGCUCACCCGUGAUGAGACGAAUUAUACAUAUAAUUGCUAUUAGCUAAUUCACAUUGUGGUUUCUUUCAGCCGAGAGUUAUCUAAAUACAAUCGCUUGUGUUAUGUCACAAGCUUGUGUUAUUUCCUCAGUUCCCGAUAGGACUAAUGAACCUACAUUUUCCGGUUUGGAUGAUUGUGUAUGCUGUAGCUACUUCUGUGAAGGUCUGAACAUUGGAUCCAAAAAUAAAUCUUGUCACAUUCAGGACAUAACUUUUGUGAGGACUUUUUCUGUGAAAAAACAGUGUGGCCAGCUCAAAUGCUGACUAUUGUGUCAAUCGAAACUGGCAGUUCUAUAUACGCGUUCUUGUCACACCGGUUGAUCGUAAGCUGCAGGGACCACUGUAGAAUGAUCACACCCAUGUCUGUAUGUGUGAACAUUUUUCAUUUAAAAAAAAUAAAUCUUUCAAAAUUGUG